GGGAAUUUUGGGCAAUGGGCGAAAGCCUGACCCAGCAACGCCGCGUGAGGGAUGAAGUAUUUCGGUAUGUAAACCUCGAAAGAAUGGGAAGAAUAAAUGACGGUACCAUUUAUAAGCUCCGGCUAACUACGUGCCAGCAGCCGCAGUAAUACGUAGGGAGCAAGCGUUGUUCGGAUUUACUGGGCGUAAAGGGCGCGUAGGCGGCGCGGUAAGUCACUUGUGAAAUCUCUGAGCCUAACUCAGAACGGCCAAGUGAUACUGCUGUGCUAGAGUGCGGAAGAGGCAACCGGAAUUCUUGGUGUAGCGGUGAAAUGCGUAGAUAUCAAGAGGAACACCAGAGACGAAGGCGGGUUGCUAGGCCGACACUGACGCUGAUGCGCGAAAGCCAGGGGAGCAAACG
rnacentral:rRNA from 1 species